rnacentral:lncRNA from 1 species
UUAUAUUUAUUUGCUUUCUUUUCCUCUUUUGACUACAAUGUUUCUAUUCCCUAAAGAACCCGAUAGAGUUGUCGAAGCCACCCAAUCCGCCGCCUGAUUACAAGUCCUGCUAAUAUGAACUACGGAGUGGGAACCAAGAGCCUUAAACUUGUCCAAAAUAGCUGAGAUAAUAGGAUCAAUCUCUGAGAAAAUAGAGGCUCCAACAAUAAAAGAAUUAGCAAGAACUAAACAAUCUGUUUCAAAAAUACAAUUGAG